GAUGAACGCUAGCGAUAGGCUUAACACAUGCAAGUCGAGGGGCAGCAUGGUCUUAGCUUGCUAAGACUGAUUGCGACCGGCGCACGGGUGCGUAACGCGUAUGCAACUUGCCUCACAGAGGGGGAUAACCCGUCGAAAGACGGACUAAUACCGCGUACCCUUUGGAUAGUGGAGCCUGACCCAAGGAAAUGAAAGUCGAUGUGAGAUAGGCAUGUGUCCCAUUAGCUAGUUGGUGAGGUAACGGCUCACUAGGGCGACGAUGGGUAGGGGAGGGGAGGGGGGGCGCCCCCAGACGGGUACCGGCCCACGUGCCACUCAGCUACGGCAGAGAGUAGUGCGGAAGAUAGCACAAUGGAAUAUUGCCUGAUCCGGCCAAGUCGCGUGAAGGAAGACUGUGUUAGGGAUUGUAAACUUCUUUUAGACGGCCACUUCAAGAGCCACGGGUGCCUCCCUGCCGGUACCGUAUGAAUAAGCACCGGCUAACUCCGUG
rnacentral:rRNA from 1 species